rnacentral:rRNA from 1 species
GGGGAUAACUACUGGAAACGGUAGCUAAUACCGCAUAACGUCGCAAGACCAAAGAGGGGGACCUUCGGGCCUCUUGCCAUCGGAUGUGCCCAGAUGGGAUUAGCUUGUUGGUGGGGUAACGGCUCACCAAGGCGACGAUCCCUAGCUGGUCUGAGAGGAUGACCAGCCACACUGGAACUGAGACACGGUCCAGACUCCUACGGGAGGCAGCAGUGGGGAAUAUUGCACAAUGGGCGCAAGCCUGAUGCAGCCAUGCCGCGUGUAUGAAGAAGGCCUUCGGGUUGUAAAGUACUUCCAGCGGGGAGGAAGGGAGUAAAGUUAAUACCUUUGCUCAUUGACGUUACCCGCAGAAGAAGCACCGGCUAACUCCGUGCCAGCAGCCGCGGUAAUACGGAGGGUGCAAGCGUUAAUCGGAAUUACUGGGCGUAAAGCGCACGCAGGCGGUUUGUUAAGUCAGAUGUGAAAUCCCCGGGCUCAACCUGGGAACUGCAUCUGAUACUGGCAAGCUUGAGUCUCGUAGAGGGGGGUAGAAUUCCAGGUGUAGCGGUGAAAUGCGUAGAGAUCUGGAGGAAUACCGGUGGCGAAGGCGGCCCCCUGGACGAAGACUGACGCUCAGGUGCGAAAGCGUGGGGAGCAAACAGGAUUAGAUACCCU